rnacentral:rRNA from 1 species
AGAAGCAAUACCGCGAGGUGGAGCAAAACUUCAAAAAUAGGUCUCAGUUCGGACUGUAGGCUGCAACUCGCCUACAUGAAGCUGGAGUUGCUAGUAAUCGCGAAUCAGCAUGUCGCGGUGAAUACGUCCCCGGGCCUUGUACACACCGCCCGUCACACCAUGAGAGUUGGCAAUACCCAACGUACGUGAUCUAACCCGCAAGGGAGGAAGCGUCCUAAGGUAGGGUCAGCGAUUGGGGUGAAGUCGUAACAAGGUAAC